rnacentral:misc_RNA from 1 species
UCGUAUAAAAGAGGUGCCAAGGGCUGUCGCUGUCCCUCAAGGGUCGUGCACGCCCAAAGUGCUUUCAUACAAUCCAUCUCACCCCUUUGUGCAUCACCGCGUGGGUUCCUCCCCUUGCGGGGAAGGGCCUGCGUUUUAUCAUAAAACUUGAUACAGUGUAGAAUGUUUAUCUUUGCGGUCACACGCAAUCAAUA